rnacentral:rRNA from 1 species
UCGGGAAUUUUGGGCAAUGGGGGAAACCCUGACCCAGCAACGCCGCGUGAAGGAUGAAGUAUUUCGGUAUGUAAACUUCGAAAGAAUAGGAAGAAUAAAUGACGGUACUAUUUAUAAGGUCCGGCUAACUACGUGCCAGCAGCCGCGGUAAUACGGGGGGUGCAAGCGUUAAUCGGAAUUAUUGGGCGUAAAGGGUGCGUAGGUUGUUUGAUAAGAUAUAUGUGAAAUACCUGGGCUCAACCUGGGAAGGUCAUAUAAGACUGUCAGACUCGAGUAUGGGAGAGGGUAGAGGAAUUUCCGGUGUAGCGGUGAAAUGCGUAGAUAUCAAGAGGAACACCUGAGGUGAAGACGGGUUGCUGGGCUGACACUGACGCUGAGGCGCGAAAGCCAGGGGAGCAAACGGGAUUAGAUACCCAAGUAGUCCCUGAGCGGGCUGGCAAGGCGCAU